CCUACGGGAGGCUGCAGUGGGGAAUAUUGCACAAUGGGCGCAAGCCUGAUGCAGCCAUGCCGCGUGUGUGAAGAAGGCCUUCGGGUUGUAAAGCACUUUCAGCGGGGAGGAAGGCGUUAAGGUUAAUAACCUUGUCGAUUGACGUUACCCGCAGAAGAAGCACCGGCUAACUCCGUGCCAGCAGCCGCGGUAAUACGGAGGGUGCAAGCGUUAAUCGGAAUUACUGGGCGUAAAGCGCACGCAGGCGGUCUGUCAAGUCGGAUGUGAAAUCCCCGGGCUCAACCUGGGAACUGCAUUCGAAACUGGCAGGCUAGAGUCUUGUAGAGGGGGGUAGAAUUCCAGGUGUAGCGGUGAAAUGCGUAGAGAUCUGGAGGAAUACCGGUGGCGGAGGCGGCCCCCUGGACAAAGACUGACGCUCAGGUGCGAAAGCGUGGGGAGCAAACAGGAUUAGAUACCCCUGUAGUC
rnacentral:rRNA from 1 species